AUGGCAAACGACGAGCGCGGCGCCGGCGAGGAGCGGGGAGCGGCGGAGGACAGCAUCGUGUGGAGGGAGGAGGCGGGGAAGUUCGAGACGCCCGACGGCGAGGCCUUCCUCCAGUACCGCCUCGUCGUCCAGCCGCGCGCCUCCUCCGUCCGCGGCGGCGCGUCCCCGGCGGCGAUGGACAUGGUGCACACGUACGUGCCCGGGAGCAAGCGCGGGCAGGGGCUCGCCGCGCGCCUCUGCGACGCCGCCUUUGCCCACGCGCAGCGCCACGGCAUGCGCGUCAUCCCCGCCUGCUCCUACAUCUCGGACACGUACCUCCCUCGCAAUCCGGCGUGGAACGAACUUGUCUACAAGGCUGACGAGCCCAAACACAGCAGCACCAGCAGUAGCAUGUAG
rnacentral:rRNA from 1 species